CCUACGGGUGGCUGCAGUGGGGAAUAUUGGACAAUGGGGGGAACCCUGAUCCAGCCAUGCCGCGUGUGUGAAGAAGGCCCUCGGGUUGUAAAGCACUUUCAGUGAGGAAGAACGCCUGGUGGUUAAUACCCAUCAGGAAAGACAUCACUCACAGAAGAAGCACCGGCUAACUCCGUGCCAGCAGCCGCGGUAAUACGGAGGGUGUGAGCGUUAAUCGGAAUUACUGGGCGUAAAGCGCGCGUAGGUGGCUUGAUAAGCCGGUUGUGAAAGCCCCGGGCUCAACCUGGGAACGGCAUCCGGAACUGUCAAGCUAGAGUGCAGGAGAGGAAGGUAGAAUUCCCGGUGUAGCGGUGAAAUGCGUAGAGAUAGGGAGGAAUACCAGUGGCGAAGGCGGCCUUCUGGACUGACACUGACACUGAGGUGCGAAAGCGUGGGUAGCAAACAGGAUUAGAUACCCCAGUAGUC
rnacentral:rRNA from 1 species